CAAGUGGAAAACAGGGGAUGCAGGGACUGAAGCAGGUCAACAUGAAGCAAACCUGAGUUUGUUAUGUGAGUUAGGUACCUCGGAUCCUGUGUAAGCAAAUGGCUGUGGGAUUCAAAUUGUCUCAGCAGAGAAGGGGCUGCUGGAACAGCCAGAGCUCAGGGCAAGACAGGGGUAUUUCCCCUGUGGUUUUAUGAUAUCAGAUUGAGUUGUCAAGAUCUCACCACCCUCUGCCCUUAAACAACCGGACAAGGUGUAUUCAAGCCCAUAUUGCUAUGUGAUUAAAUACUAAGGAAAUACUUUAAAACUCUGGAGAAAGGAUGGCAUUUAGUUAAUUGUAUAGAGAAGGCAUUUAUAGAAAAGAUCUUUAUGAAAUGAUCAACACUGAGCUAAGGACAAGUAAGAGCAAGUCUGAAGGCAUGAGGCAUAAAGGAGGCACAGCACAGAAGUGUAGGUAGGGCCAUGCGGAGGCACCAACAUGUCCUCAAACCCAGGAUCAUCGUGUUCUGUCAACAUUACCUUACUUUUUUUGUGUCUUUUGCUUUCAGGACCUGACUCCAGUUUUCCUGGCCCAGGAAACAAAACAGGAAGACAGCCUGAUCUACCCUAGAGCACUGAAUGGUCAUUGAAACCGAGCUCAGGACAGCUCAACCUUGCCAAACUUCUUUCUCAGGUCUUCUGAAGAAGAAAUUCCUUUAGAGUGUUCCUCAGCCUCUCUGCAGUAUGCUUCUCUGGGUCAGGUUGUGAACAGAGUUGUUAGGAGCUUGUGUGGUAAAGCAGGCUGGCCAGCUGGGCCUGCUGGGGAUCCCUUAAAAUAACAUUUGUCUCAAGCCUUUUCACAGGCUUUUACUGGACCGAUUCAGUGUCUCAUUUAGGUGUGAUGCUCUAUGUUCAUUCAGCAAGUGGCUGGUGACAGCAAAACCUGUUGUGUGAUUAUAAGAUGGUUGUUCAUUCCUACAGCUGACAGCAGCACCACGGUGGCAUAUUCAGCCUUUAAGACUUGCUUUUCCCUGGGAGCUGCAAGGAUGCACUGAAGGGUGUCUAACAUUCUCCUGCAUCCAGAAUGAAUUAGGUAAUGGUGAUCCAGGUGAGGUGGACACCAUGAGACAGCCCCUUUCCAUAAGUACCAUGCACUUGACAGAAACAGGCGGGAGAGAGAACAGCCUUCAGCUCUCUCACCAUCAGAAAAGGCAGAAAAAGGCAAGGCAAAGAUAGUUUAUGUGCAGCUGAGGCAGCUCUCAGAACUGAAUGUAUCUGUGAUUUAAUAACACAUCUACACAGAGAGACACUUGUAAUAUUCACUGAGAGAAAGGCAGCAGAGCAGGAUGGGGCCACAACCAGCACACAGUGCAUUACUUCUGCAACCACAAACAGCUGAACUACCAGGUAUUUAUUUUUCUGUAUGCACAGUUGUUGGGAGAGAAUGAAAAUUAUUCUUUGACACUGCUGAUGAAGGCAUAGACAGGCCUGUGCUUCCCCCAGCUGCCGUGGUCCUGAUGAGAAACAGCUCACAAAUUCUAAUAAAUAGAAAAUAGAAAUAAAUACUUUAACUACAUGGCAUAAGGUUUUGAAUGGCUUUCUGAAUCGGAAAGUGCUGCUUGUACGUCUUCGUUACUUCUACACUCUGUAAUGCUGGCUCUACAAAAGGCAGAGACAAAGUGAGAUAGAUACCAUGAGGAUCGCAGCCACUACACUGGGAAACCAAGUAUCAGUGGUACAUCCAGAUUUAUGGUAGGGGAUGGCAGUAAAGCGAAAGCAAAACUGUUUGCACAGUCUGUGUUGUUGCCCAUUACUGUGUAUUUGGCCUUUUUUCUUGCUUAGCUACAGCUGAAGGAAUGGAAAAUUGUCCCUUAUAUACAGUAUUAGGAGCCACUUUUUGAUCGUAAGGUCAAUCAGACUAGUUUACCUGCUUGAGGUAUUUAUGGCACAAUCACUCAGUGUCUUUAAGGAAAGGUUAGAUACAUUUAUGGGAAAGGUCUUUUGCAGAAGCCUUCCUGUUUCAUAGAGGUCUUGGACAAAAUGACCCAGGAGGCCCCUUCCAAGUCUGUCAAAUGUGGUUCCUUGAUUGAUGCUGUUUCCCCCCCAAGUCUUCUGAAAACACCAAGCACUGUUAUAAAAUUUAAUAUGAUACACUAUAUAACUCUAACUCAAUGCCAUUUCCUUAUAGGAGAUGGUUAGCUGCUAGCACAGGAGCCUUGUGCAGGAGGAAGGAAAGAAGAAAGACAAAAUUGCAGUGCAGUUUCUCUGCCAAGGGAUAUCGACUAUAACAUUUACACUGUUCCUUACUGUGGACCCUCAUCUGUGCAGAAUAUCAUGUCAUGGAGGCAUAUAAGUAACCCUGACUGUAGUAUAUAUUUCUCCAGAAGAACCUAACAGGGCCUGAGGUGAUUUUGUGUGCUGUGCAAUAGGCAUUCCCUCAGUGCUGGAAAGCAAAUGGACACCCAGCUCUCCUUAUAAAUAACUUCUUGGUGCUGUAGUCAGCUGGGCAUAAUGUGGAGGCCAGAAACAGGAGUGUCCAGCCCCUAGCUCUACCCACAGGGCCUGUCCUCUGCCUGUGCUCUGCAACCCUUCUGUGGUUACAAAUGGCCAGAGUGAAGGCAACACAAAACAUUUCCAGGUCCACCAAACCAGUGACUGAAUCUGUAUCCUAUUGCUCACUAUUAUCCUUGUUGUUUUUCCAAUUUGAGGAGAGAUGUUUUAGCUUAAUGCUCCCUAAAUUGACUAUUUCUUUUUUGCCCUUCAAACUUAACAUAUUUAAAAGUUUAAGUCAACUGAAUUAGGAUUCACUCUCAAAACCAUUUUACUUUUUACUUUUUUAUUUUCACUCCAGCUGAUUUACUUAAAGGCCAAACUCCUCUUCCAAAAACCAACCCCCUGUCUUCUUGGGCAGCUCUGUCAGGAAAUAACACCACCCAUACACACACACUCCAAAGCCUUUUGAAGCCUCACAUAUGUGAGCUAUUCCAUUUCGCAGAGCAGACCAGGAUUAACUCCUUUAUUAACCUUCUAACCUCAUCCAUGAGAAGGAAAAACAGCCGAACCUCAUUUGGAGGCUUGCAGCCUUCUUUACCUAAACACUUGUGAGCUCAAACACCCUCAGAUGGGAGCAAAAUGAGGAUCAUUAAUGAGGAUUUCCCUAAGGAGCUCCCUGAUUUUGGACCCUCCCAUCAUGUUGCACUCAGUGUCAAUGGCUAUCCCUAAAAUCUUCUGUUUUCACUUGGAAAUGUUUUCCCAUUACCGUGAGGCUUGGGUCUAUUUGAAUCAUAUUUAUAGGGGCAAAUACUGAUCUUCUUGUCCUUCUCCACAUGUUGCAUCAAUGUAUUUUCCCUGAUUUCUACGUCAAAAAACAAGGCACUUUUAGCAAAUGACAAAUCUGACCUGGCUUGAAUCCUGGCAGCGCUACAAUUGCUCAUCCUUAGCGCUCACUUCAUCCUGGCAUCACAGUGCAGAGUAAGACACUCACGUCAGGAUAGCUCUUCUCACUGGAGUCACAAUGGUAAAAAUUAGCCUGGGUGAGUGACACGAGCAGAAAUUUCAAAGGCAGGAAAAUUUAUCUCCUGCUCUUUGUCUUACAGUGUGGUGCGUGUUAGUGGUUGGAAGAUUUAGCUUCCAAGCAUCCCGUAUAUAUAAAUCCUAGUGGACAACUGCUCUCCAGCUUCUCUUUUUUGAGCUCAGCAGCUGGAAUCUGCCAGGGAAUGAGGGCUGAGGUAAGGAUGGAGGAAAACUUUACUAUGGCCUUCAGGUGUUGGUCAAGGGUCAAGAUUAGGAAACAGCUAGAGCAGAACAAAACUCUCUCAGCUACGUCUCCUUACUGUGUUACAGGAGGUCAUGGCUAUUUGGCAUAAGGACUGUGAUUUUGGGGCCUGCCUCUCUGCUUUAGCUUAGACCAUUAACUGCUUUGAUGAUACAGUCCCUCUUGGGGUUUCUCCUUCUGAAAGAUUUAUUCUUGGUUUAACCCUAAUACAAAUGCUCCACUUUAGAUUUUAGGAGGCCAAAACACAAGGAGGAAGGCAAAAUACCUCUCAGGUUCCUGGUAAAGGCCUUCAAAUACCACUUUGAUGAGAACUUUCCAACUGCUCUGCUGAGUAAACAGACACGGAGUAAACAGCUCUAAUGUGCAGGGAUGGCCCUUACACCAGCAGGCAGAGAGGAAAAGGCGAUGGGAAGAGGAAAAGGCAGGCACUGAUGGAUCCAACUGAAUUUCUGCCACUUUUGAUCUUUGGAAAUGGGAAAACCCAUUCAGGGUCACAGAUUUCCAGACCGGGCUAUAUGCACCAUUACUUGUGCCACAAAGCAGAGAUGCUUUGCUUGGCCCAAAAAAAGAUGUUAUUGUGAGUUCUCUGGGGUGCAGGGACUUGAUUUCCCAGUUUUCAGUUAAUAAUUCAAUUAUUAUACAUAAAUAAUAGUAAUAAUAAUCAUAACAAUACCUGCCUUGCUAUUAUGUUGUACUCAGCCUUUGUGAUGCCUCUCUCACGAUAAAAUCUGUCUAUUAAACACUUUAAUUGAAACUCUUAAUAAAACAGAGCUAUUUUAGCUUGUGCAGUUACAUUCACAUCAUGAUCACAAAGCACUUUACAGAAACAAAUAGAAGUAACCAGCCUGAUUCUUGUGCAGGAGCAAACACCAUCAUUGUGCAUCUCAGUAGUAUGUAACAAAGCUGUCAUAUAGGCAAUGAAUUGUCCAACAUACCGUAUUUCGGGGUUUGUGCUGCAUCCAAAAAGGUUGGGGUUUGUCCUUAGGCUUGGUCUAAAAAUCUCUAAUGCCAUCCCAAGCGACACAGCAAGCGGGGAGUGGAUGGGCUCACCUCCUAGACAAGAAGAGCAGGCUGCAGCCAGGAGGGGUAGGGAACAGUCGCGCCUCAUUAUCAGGAGCCCUGGUUCAGAAGGAAAGAAGAAAAAAGGUUAUAAUUUUCCUGGUUUAGGAAAAAAAAAAAAAAAGCCAUGGAAUUCUUGAUGUGCCGUGGUGCUGAGUACUGAGCAGCCACCGUGGGGUCACCGAGAGAGGACAAGGCAAAGCCUGGUAAUGCAAGCGCUCACGUUAAAUGAUGCCUCCCGAGGUAUGGAAGGGGUCUCAGGCUUUGGGCCUUGUAAUAGGUAGUUCUGGAGCUCAGAGCCGGUGAAGUGCUUUGUUCCCCCUUGUAUAAUUGAUAAAUUACCAUUGUUAGUACUAAACAAUACUACCGAGCACAGAAUGGAAACACGCUAAUGCUUUAUCCAUCUUAAGCAAUUCUGCUCAUGUGCUCAUACUGUUCUUAAAUGUGCUAGAUAUUUGUUUGAUGAAACAAUAAGUUUUAGAAAAGGGAAAAAUAAGAACUUUAAAGAUAAUCAAAACCUUGACUCCGUACUUUACCACAGGCAGCUGUGAAUAAGCUUCAGUACUCUUUAUUUUUAACAUUCCAGAUAUGUAAUUUAAUGCAGGUCUAAUGACAGUCUCGAACGUACUGCUUUAAUCGAAAUUGUUCAAGCCCUGUUCUGUGACAAGGGCUCACAAGCUACCAGCAGGGUUGUCCAUUUUCCCCGCUUCUGUAAGGAAAAGAAAAGGGAGGGGAGGGGGACACUCUUGAACUUAUGUUGCUAUUGAUGUGUAAUAUACAAUAAAAAAACAGUUAAAUUUCAAUUACCCACAGGUAAUUAUAAUUUUAUUGUUUGACUGUGCCAUGGGGAUUUUUGUAAUUCCCCAGCCUAAUAAUUUUCUAUAAUUUUACAGGUUGUCAAAUAAACUAUUAAAGAUUAUCUUUGAAAAGGA